CAUUAGUAUGGAUGUAGACUUAGUACUAGAUGCCCUACUGUAUAUAACUAAUCCAAUAACAACAUGUUGGGUAUCAACUCUUACAUUAGUAUGGAUGUAGACUUAGUACUAGAUGCCCUACUGUAUCUAACUAAUCCAAUAACAACAUGUUGGGUAUCAACUCUUACAUUAGUAUGGAUGUAGACUUAGUACUAGAUGCCCUACUGUAUCUAACUAAUCCAAUAACAACAUGUUGGGUAUCAACUCUUACAUUAGUAUGGAUGUAGACUUAGUACUAGAUGCCCUACUGUAUCUAACUAAUCCAAUAACAACAUGUUGGGUAUCAACUCUUACAUUAGUAUGGAUGUAGACUUAGUACUAGAUGCCCUACUGUAUCUAACUAAUCCAAUAACAACAUGUUGGGUAUCAACUCUUACAUUAGUAUGGAUGUAGACUUAGUACUAGAUGCCCUACUGUAUCUAACUAAUCCAAUAACAACAUGUUGGGUAUCAACUCUUACAUUAGUAUGGAUGUAGACUUAGUACUAGAUGCCCUACUGUAUCUAACUAAUCCAAUAACAACAUGUUAGGUAUCAACUCUUACAUUAGUAUGGAUGUAGACUUAGUACUAGAUGCCCUACUGUAUCUAACUAAUCCAAUAACAACAUGUUAGGUAUCAACUCUUACAUUAGUAUGGAUGUAGACUUAGUACUAGAUGCCCUACUGUAUCUAACUAAUCCAAUAACAACAUGUUAGGUAUCAACUCUUACAUUAGUAUGGAUGUAGACUUAGUACUAGAUGCCCUACUGUAUCUAACUAAUCCAAUAACAACAUGUUAGGUAUCAACUCUUACAUUAGUAUGGAUGUAGACUUAGUACUAGAUGCCCUACUGUAUCUAACUAAUCCAAUAACAACAUGUUAGGUAUCAACUCUUACAUUAGUAUGGAUGUAGACUUAGUACUAGAUGCCCUACUGUAUCUAACUAAUCCAAUAACAACAUGUUGGGUAUCAACUCUUACAUUAGUAUGGAUGUAGACUUAGUACUAGAUGCCCUACUGUAUCUAACUAAUCCAAUAACAACAUGUUGGGUAUCAACUCUUACAUUAGUAUGGAUGUAGACUUAGUACUAGAUGCCCUACUGUAUCUAACUAAU